AUUCCAGGGCUGCUCUGCAGCUGCCCAGGCAGCUCCGUGGGUGGCCACUCUGCUAACGUGGGAGCACACGUGGCUUCCAUCUGAUGAGCAGUCUCAGGGAAGCUGGGGGCUUCAGACACCAAAUGUCUAUUUCCCUCCUUGAUUUGAGACUCUUUUGGAGCUCUUGGAGACUUCCAGCAGAAACCUGAGCUGCCGGCUGCCAAGAAUCAGCGGUGGAUUUCUUGACCUGCUCUUAAUACCAAUUGAAUAACCCCUUUGAAAACGUUCACAUACAUGGGGUACAAGGUGGUACCUUUGUGCAUGAGACUGUUCUGGAGACGGCUUAUCACCCAGCAAAUCAGUGUUGGCCAUCUGGGACUCAGCGACCCUUUCUACGAGGCUAUGAAGAGAAACUGAGGCCCAUAAAAUUGAAUGGCUCAUCUCAGAUCAAGUGGCCAGAUCAAUGAAGAGAAGUGUCCUUAGGUCCGGCUGCUGGUGUGAAGUAUGCUCUGGAGGUCUGACAUCCACUCUCCCUCAGACUUUCUAAUACGGCAGGAAUUCCGUCCAUGUAUACUCAAGCUAGAGUUGCCAGAUGAAAUGGAGGACAUGGCUGGGUGCGGUGGCUCAGCUCGGAGCAGUGGCUCACGCCUGUAAUCCCAGCACUUUGGGAGGCCGAGGUGGGCUGAUGGCCUGAGGUCAGGAGUUCAAAACCAGCGUGGCCAACAAGAUGUGCCAGUUCUGGUAAAUUUCCUAGCAAGCUUGAAGGAAGUGAAGGACAACUGCAAGGAAGGGCAGGAUGGAGCAUGCAGCCCACGUAUUCCCCAGCUUGGUGGGGCAGAAUGCGUUCUUGGCUCCUGAGGAAUGGGCAGGCAACGCACAGGGGUCCUGGGAAGAAAGGGAGAGAAUAUCCUGGGAGAGCCAUAGACCCUGGCACCCUCCUGUGGUCCUUCAUCAGGAUUCCUCUUCAGUUGGAAACAGCAGCAAAGUUCACAGGUCGUGAGUGGAUGUAAAGUGGACGGAACAGGUUGUUGCCAGUCUAUUGGAGUAGGAUGGUAGAUGAGCAGUCCCGUUGGCUAACAGCUUGUUGGAAUUUAAAUACGACCAAUCAAAAUGUGUUUAGGCUUCAAAGGAAAAAGUUCUCCAUAAAUACACCAGAAUUUCAUUCUAACAUGAUUCAUUCAUUCAAAGAGCACAGCUGCACAAGGGGAAGACAGCUGCCACAUGGUAACGCAGUCCUGUAAAGAGUCCCAUGUGGUGAGAGACGUGGUUGGGAGUGAGCUUGGAAGUGGAUCCCCAACCCUCGUCCCCAAACUGAGACUUCACAUGAGACUGCAGCUCUGGCCAACAGCUUCACUGUAACCUCACAACAGACCUUGAGCCACAAGCACCCAGCUAAGCUGCAGGGAGACCCCCUGAAACUAUUGCUACGGAAUAAAAGAUGAAAUGCUCCUGAUUAUUGUAAAUACAAAGUUGCAUGCAGGAUUGUGUAAAGACAAUGCCAGGUUGGACUGCCAGAAUGAGCCAACUGCACGUGAUGUGAUUCCCCCUGCAGAGAGCCUAUGAAUGGACGUGCAGUCAGGGAGGUUUCACAUCACCAAGAUUCCUAUCCUAGAAAGGCAGAUGUUCAUAGCUCUAGGAAUGGAAUGCGACCCUUGUGGAGAGCCUAUAAACGGAUGCAUGGGGGUGGGGCGCCUGUCCAUAUGGAUAAGAUAGGGCUAGAAACGCCCUCAUCUUGCCACAGCUCUUCUAGGCCUCUUUAGGGUUAAGGCAUACUCCCUUCUGAGAAUUUCUGGUCUAACUGGUUGUCUAGCUUCACAUCCUGUUUCCGUGGAUUGUUUGUAACCAGCUUUUGUUGCAAUUGUUACUGCUGAUUAAUAUCUUGCUAAUCAUAGGUUAUGGAAAGAUUGUGCUUCUGUUUUAAGGCUCUGUUAGAAAUUACUGACGCACACACUAUAUUGUAAAUUCUUAUCUCUCUAUGCUGUACUUCUACAUACAAAUGUACUGUACUUCUACAUACAAAUGUACUGUACUUCUACAUACAAAUGUUAUGUUAAUUACUUCAUCCCCAUGUGACCAUCUCACCUCAUAAUCAAAUGACCCUAAAUCCCUCACUAACCAACCCCCACCCUCACUUAACUUAAUAAUAAACGCUGGUAUAUCCAGAGCAUUGUUGGCACCAUGGGACCAGAAGGCGGUGACCCCCCUGGACCCAGCUUUCACUAUCUUGUGUGUGUCUAUUAUUUCCCAACCUGCUGAUCUGCCUGGGAACAAAGAGAGAGCCCCAUUGCAUUGUGGGCUGCUGACCAGAUCCUGAAGAUGCAUGCAACAACGAGACAGAGAAAUUUGCUGAAAAAGCACCACAGCAGGAAACAACUAACACAUCCAAUCAUCAAAAAGAAGAAAAGACCACGCUAACUCCUUUACAACAGACAAUCCAGACAGCCAUCCUGAACAACUUGUCUCCAGCGAUCCAGGUCUGGCUCAACCUCUGCCUCCUCCUGAUGACACUGAUCCUUCUACCUCUGUUACGCCACAGACUGUUAAAAACUAUACAUAUUGGGCCUAUAUUCCUUUUCCUCCUCUUAUUCGAGCCGUGACAUGGAUGGAUGCUCCUAUCGAGGUCUAUGUUAAUGAUAGUAUUUGGAUGCCUGGUUCUCUAGAUGAUCGUUGUCCUGCACAACCUUCAGAAGAAGGAACCCCUUUCAAUAUCACUUUAGGUUUUAGGUAUCCACCUUUCUGCCUGGGACCCACUAAUGUAUGUCUCUCAUUAGAUAUUCAAACUUGGGCUGUCACACUACCGUCUGGUCACUCUGUCCCUCCUUUAGGACACUUGAUAUCAGGGCUCUCAUUAAAACCUCUAAGGCAGAUCAAAACAGUAAUCACUGAUUAUAUUCACACAUCCCAAUAUAAGCCUUUAGACCUGUGUGUCCUCUCAACUUGUCUUCAAAUGCUGACAAAAUUAAUAUGGAAAGACUGUGUUAGCUCAGAAGGAACCGUGUUAUUUAAUUCUUCUCACUACACCAUUGUUGAUUGGGCUCCUAAAGGUCAUAUUACUAAUGAUUGCUCUCAAGGUCACAGAGAUUGUCAACAUUUUCUCUAUAAUAUUACUUAUCAAAAACGUAGUGACAGCCCUCCCCUAUUAUAUCGUAGAUUUAACUCCUUUUUUCCUCUUAAGUGGAAAGGGGCAGGGGUUGCGCCUCCAAAGCCAAGGCUCAUUGUUCCCCACAUAGGACCUGAACAUUCCAAAUUAUGGAGAUUAACAAUAGCUAUGACUGGUAUGAGAGUUUGGGCUGGAGAAAGUGUUAUAAGUAAAUCCACUUUGUCACCUCAAAAUGUAUAUACUCUCUAUAUGGAGUCCAACAAAACUAUACCACUUAAAAGUUGUGUUAAACCACCAUAUAUGUUAUUAGCAGGAAAGUUGCAUAUUAGUUCAAAAACCAACAUAAUUACCUGUGUUAAUUGUUACUUGUAUACUUGUAUUGACUCAUCCUUUAAUCAAUAUCAUAGUAUUUUAAUAGUCAGAGCCAGACAAGAUAUUUGGCUCCCUGUAGCCUUACAUAGGCCUUGGGAAUCUUCCCCCUUUAUCCAUGUUAUUAACAAUAUUCUAUAGAAAAUUCUUAAAAGGAGUAAACAAUUUAUUUUUACAUUAAUUGCAAUAAUAAUGGGCUUGAUUGCUGUUACUGUGAUUGCUGCUACUGCUGGAGUUGCAUUACGUCCAUCUAUUCAAACUGUUCAUUUUGUGGAUAAAUGGCAAAAAAAUUCUACUCGGAUGUGGAAUUCUCAGGUAUUGAUCAAAAAUUGGCUAAUCAAAUUAAUGAUCUAAGACAAACUGUUAUAUGGAUGGGAGGUAGAAUUAUGAGUUUAGAACAUAGAUUACAAAUGCAAUGUGAUUGGAAUACUUCUGAUUUUUGUAUAACUCCAUUUCAAUAUAAUGAGUCUGUUCACAAUUGGGAAUCAGUAAAAUGCCAUUUACAAGGAAGUGAAGAUAAUUUAAAGCUUUAGACAUAAGCAAACUAAAAGAACAGAUUUUUGAGGCCUCUCAAGCACACUUAACUGCUUUACCCGGUGCUGAAGUUUUAGACGGUAUCUCUGAGGGAUUAUCUAAUCUCAACCCCAUUCAAUAGGUAAAAUCUUUGGGAGGAUCCACUAUCGUUAAUUUUGUUCUGUGUAUAAUUUGUACUAUUGGUUUAUUGUUCAUGUGUAAAAUUGGAAAAAAUAUUCUUCAGUCCAAUUGUGAUCAGUGCCAAGCUAUGAUUGCUAUGGUUCAUUUAAAUCAGAGAGAAGGGGGAGAUGUAAGGAGACCCCCUGAAACUGUUGCUAUGGAAUAAAAGAUGAAAUGCUCCUGAUUAUUGUAAAUACAAAGUUGCAUGCAGGAUUGUGUAAAGACAAUGCCAGGUUGGACUGCCAGAAUGAGCCAACUGCACGUGAUGUGAUUCCCCCUGCAGAGAGCCUAUGAAUGGACGUGCAGUCAGGGAGGUUUCACAUCACCAAGAUUCCUAUCCUAGAAAGGCAGAUGUUCAUAGCUCUAGGAAUGGAAUGCGACCCUUGUGGAGAGCCUAUAAACGGAUGCAUGGGGAGGUGGCUGUCCGUAUGGAUAAGAUAGGGCUAUAAACGCCCUCAUCUUGCCACAGCUCUUCUAGGCCUCUUUAGGGUUAAGGCAUACUCCCUUCUGGGAAUUUCUGGUCUAACCGGUUGUCUAGCUUCACGUCCUGUUUCCAUGGAUUGUUUGUAACCAGCUUUUGUUGCAAUUGUUACUGCUGAUUAAUAUCUUGCUAAUCAUAGGUUAUGGAAAGAUUGUGUUUCUGUUUUAAGGCUCUGUUAGAAAUUACUGACACACACACUAUAUUGUAAAUUCUUAUCUCUCUAUACUGUACUUCUACAUACAAAUGUACUGUACUUCUACAUACAAAUGUUAUGUGAAAGAAUUACUUCAUCCCCAUGUGACCAUCUCACCUCAUAAUCAAAUGACCCUAAAUCCCUCACUAACCUACCCCCACCCUCACUAAACUUAAUAAUAAACGCUGGUAUAUCCAGUGCAUUGUUGGCACCAUGGGACC
rnacentral:lncRNA from 1 species